UUCAUCAUCACCAUGCUUCCUGUACGUAUCCUGUUCCUGUACUUCCAGACCAGCGUGCUUGGCUGAAAAUGGAAUUGAUGAGCUGGGAGGAAACAGUUGCUUUGGAGAAAUGCCAUGUUCCAGAUAUGGGGCUCAGUGAGCUGAUUGUGGAGAGGCUGGAGGAUGAAGACUGACUCCCCACCUCCAUGAAAUGAUCGGGGCUGAAGUGGAAAAAUGACGUGCUGUAACUGAAUCUUGAAAAUGGUCUGUAAUGAAACAUCCUGGACCUGAGCCCCAAGGACAGUAGGGUACAAGAACUCUGAAGAUAAGAUUGGCUAGUUUCGCUUCUCCCUCACCCUGGAUCCCUUAUAGGAAUCACAGAUGGAUGAGUUGAGAUGAGCCUUAAAGGAAAGGAAAAUGUAUCUUUCUCUCCACCAGCAUCAACUGUAAGAGAGAAUUUGGGGCCUGAAGAUUAAAAGAUUUGCCCUGUUUCCGAUCUGCAUUACAAGGACUCUUUGAAGUUAUGUCCAGGAAAGGCUAUACUAAAAACAGGAUAAAUAAUAAAACUAGAUUGAAUG